UACGGGGGGAGCAAGCGUUGUUCGGAUUUACUGGGCGUAAAGGGCGCGUAGGCGGCCAGUGCAAGUCAGUUGUGAAAUCUCCGAGCUUAACUCGGAAAGGUCAACUGAUACUGCUCGGCUAGAGUGCGGAAGGGGCAACUGGAAUUCUUGGUGUAGCGGUGAAAUGCGUAGAUAUCAAGAGGAACACCUGCGGCGAAGGCGGGUUGCUGGGCCGACACUGACGCUGAAGUGCGAAAGCGUGGGGAGCGAACAGG
rnacentral:rRNA from 1 species